CUCGCUGGAGGUAUGUUCCUGCCACUCUCGCCGUCAUCCACUCUAGCACUUCAGAAAACACUAUGACACGCCCAGUGCGCGCUGUCCGGGAACUAAGGGCCACGUGAAGACUGCGAGUAGCGCUCGAGCACUCGCGGGACCAGGCCUCGCCCGGCCGCUUCAGCCCGAGACCGUCCCUGAGGAGCUGGGACCGGCCGGAGGGCGAAGGAGCCGGUGACCGGCGCGAGCCCCAUUUCUCAGCGGCAGUACUCGUACACUCACCAGGGUGGAGCCACAGGACCCUUGUGUGCCCCUGUUGUACUCAAGACCCAAACUAGAGAAAGGGUCUGUUUUACUGCUCAUGGAAGGCCACGUCUAAAAUUAAACCACGUUAAGCGGAACUGUGCACCCAAAUAUUUCUCAGUUGCAUCCCAGCCUCGAAAACCUGUUUUAGGGCUGGAAAAGCUGGCUCAGCCAUUACGAGCACUGGCUGCUUGCUCUACCAGAGGACAAGGGCUCAAUUUCCCACAUCCACACGGCAGCUCACAGCUGUCUGUAGAUCCAGUUCUAGAGGAUCCAACACCCUCACAGGUACAUGAAGGCAAAACACCAAUGCACAUAAAAUGAAAAGAAGUAAAUCAUUAAGAACAAAA